rnacentral:rRNA from 1 species
CAGCAGCCGCGGUAAUACGUAGGGUGCAAGCGUUAUCCGGAUUUAUUGGGUUUAAAGGGUCCGUAGGCGGAUCUGUAAGUCAGUGGUGAAAUCUCACAGCUUAAAUGUGAAACUGCCAUUGAUACUGCAGGUCUUGAGUAAAUUUGAAGUGGCUGGAAUAAGUAGUGUAGCGGUGAAAUGCAUAGAUAUUACUUAGAACACCAAUUGCGAAGGCAGGUCACUAAGAUUUAACUGACGCUGAUGGACGAAAGCGUGGGGAGCGAACAGGAUUAGAUACCCCCGUAGUCCCUGUCUCUUAUAC